UGGGUUGUAGCUCAGUGGUAGAGUAUAUACUCAGCAUGCCUAAGGCACUAGGUUCUAUCCCCAGCACCACAU
rnacentral:tRNA from 1 species